rnacentral:rRNA from 1 species
UACGAAGGGUGCAAACGUUGCUCGGAAUUACUGGGCGUAAAGCGCACGUAGGCGGUCUUUAAGUCGGGGUGAAAUCCUGGAGCUCAACUCCAGACUGCCUUCGAUACUGGAAGACUCGAGUCCGGGAGAGGUGAGUGGAACUGCGAGUGUAGAGGUGAAAUUCGUAGAUAUUCGCAAGAACACCAGUGGCGAAGGCGGCUCACUGGCCCGGUACUGACGCUGAGGUGCGAAAGCGUGGGGAGCAAACAGGG